GCCGCUUCCAAAAUUAUUUUUUCAAAUAAUCACGUAUUCGUAUUUCAUAAAUCAUGCCAGUAGUGGAGUACUUGAUACUGGGGAUCAUGAUACCUUCGUGAGUUUAUCACACCUUUUAAUACUGCAUUAAGCAGAGUAAUCAGUGGCGGAUCCAGGAGUUGGACCCCCUUUUUGACGACCAAUGAUUUUGAAUGGGAACCUGGGUUGGACAUCCCCUUUUAACUUGAAAUGUCUGGUAAUCGACCUAGUGGUACUAACAUCAUUAGCAGUGCCUUUUUUUUGGCGAAACUAUUUUUACACCAU
rnacentral:lncRNA from 1 species